UAUUAGCAUUCUAAUGUUUUAUGCUAGCUUUUUAACUAAGUUUGUUUGUUUAAAUUCAUGGUUUUGAUACUUAGCUAAUUUUAUAUGUUUAUGUGACACUUACAAUUAGUAGUCACAAUUGUUUUGUAAAAUGAAUGUGUAAAUAGAGUAUCCUAAUUUAGUUUGAGGUAUUUUCAUAUCUAAAGUCACAGUUCAAGUGUAUGUUUCCAAGCUGAAUGCCACAAGACAUGUUAUUCCGCCACGCCAGCAGAGGGAGCACUCCUAUAGGAAAGGAGGAAAAUGGGAGGUGCUUGUUAGUGCUUCCGUGUCUCAGUCAGGUCACACCCUGCGAUGACAACGCAAUCAAGCACUUUGUGUCUCCUUUUUAUUCCUAUAAAACAGCAGGAAGCUGAAUUCAAGCAGAAGGAGGAAGUGUUGCUGGUUCCCAUCAUAACUCAACAAGGACACAAUUAGCGUGGUGAAUGGAAGUGUUGGAGUAGGACAGGUCACAGAGGAUGAGCAGCGCUCGCUCUUGGGCCAGCGUCCGAGUGACAGGAAGUUGGCGGAUCUCCCAGCAGAUGUUCUCCACCGUGGUUCCCUGUGAGGAGAGAACCUUCUUCAUCUGGACUUCACACUACAGAUGAGCGUGACGUGAGCGCAGCUGUCGUCAAGGUAACCGCUGUUGGGCUGGCACUGCGUGUGCACGGGUCCGGGCGGCUCCGGCGUGGAGCACACGCCCCACCGGUGGCACGGCGGCGAGAAGCAGGUGAGGAACUGGUGGCCCACACACCCGUGGCCCCCGGGGCAGGGCGGCGGGGCCCGAGGGUCCGAAGAGGAAGCAGUCGGGAGGAGGCAGGGCCGACGACCGCACAUCACCUGGGGAAAAAAAAGACGCCUGGAAUGUCGGACUUUGCGUGCGACGACUAAACCAAGAACUGUCUUCAAGAUGGCCGACCUUGGAGCAGUGGGCGGAGCCGUCCACGCACUGACAAGCGUUGCAAUCCUCGUCCCAGCGACCGCCGUGAGGAAACUGAAGACCGGCGUGAUGACACGACUUGCCAAGACCCACGACUGCACAUGGCAACGGAGAAGAACGAAGGUCAGGGGUGGUCGCGGCGGAGGCGGUCACAGACACUCACCCUCCCCACAUCCGGCUCCGGCACGUCCGGGAGGACAGAGACAUCGGAAGGCGUGGAUUUGGUCCACGCAGGUGGAGCCUUGGGCGCAGGGGGAGGACUGACACUCGUCCACGUCUGGAAGACACACACACACACACACACACACGCAGGUGUAACUUUGUACAACACCACACCUGUUGUACCGUGACCCUCUCCGUCUCUCACUGAUGACGUCAUGCAAGAUGGCAGCUGUGGCAUGAAUCUUUGUUAUGUAGUCACGGCUUGGACUUUUGGAUCUUUCUUUGGAUUUGGACCAAUCGAGGAAACAUAACAUUACUGACUUAGGGAAGUACCUCCACACUGUGUAUGGCGAUACAGUUAGAAAAAAUCCAGACUUUUUGACACUUAGAAAAAAUUCAGACUUUUUGACA